rnacentral:rRNA from 1 species
GACGAACGCUGGCGGCGUGCCUAAUACAUGCAAGUAGAACGCUGAAGAGAGGAGCUUGCUCUUCUUGGAUGAGUUGCGAACGGGUGAGUAACGCGUAGGUAACCUGCCUUGUAGCGGGGGAUAACUAUUGGAAACGAUAGCUAAUACCGCAUAACAAUGGAUGACACAUGUCAUUUAUUUGAAAGGGGCAAUUGCUCCACUACAAGAUGGACCUGCGUUGUAUUAGCUAGUAGGUGAGGUAACGGCUCACCUAGGCGACGAUACAUAGCCGACCUGAUAGGGUGAUCGGCCACACUGGGACUGAGACACGGCCCAUACUCCGACGGGAGGCAGCAGUAGGGAAUCUUCGGCAAUGGGGGCAACCCUGACCGAGCAACGCCGCGUGAGUGAAGAAGGUUUUCGGAUCGUAAAGCUCUGUUGUAAGUCAAGAACGAGUGUGAGAGUGGAAAGUUCACACUGUGACGGUAGCUUACCAGAAAGGGACGGCUAACUACGUG